CGGGGGAUAUUGCACAAAGGGCGAAAGCCUGAUGCAGCGACGCCGCGUGGGGGAUGAAGGCCUUCGGGUUGUAAACUUCUUUUGCUCUGAACAAGGCAUGCCUUUGGGGUGUGUUGAGUGUAGGGGUUGAUUAGAGCCGGCUAACUACGUGCCAGCAGCCGCGGUAAUACGUAGGGCGCGAGCGUUGUCCGGAAUUAUUGGGCGUAAAGGGCUUGUAGGUGGCUGGUUGCGUCUGUCGUGAAAGCUCAUGGCUUAACUGUGGGUUUGCGGUGGGUACGGGCUGGCUUGAGUGCAGUAGGGGAGGCUGGAAUUCCUGGUGUAGCGGUGGAAUGCGCAGAUAUCAGGAGGAAUACCGGUGGCGAAGGCGGGUCUCUGGGCUGUUACUGACGCUGAGGAGCGAAAGCGUGGGGAGCGAACAGG
rnacentral:rRNA from 1 species